UACAGAGGGUGCAAGCGUUGUUCGGAAUUAUUGGGCGUAAAGCGCGUGUAGGCGGCUUUGCAAGUCGGGUGUGAAAGCCCUCAGCUCAACUGAGGAAGUGCGCCCGAAACUGCAGAGCUUGAGUGCCGGAGAGGGUGGCGGAAUUCCCCAAAGUAGAGGUGAAAUUCGUAGAUAUGGGGAGGAACACCGGUGGCGAAGGCGGCCACCCUGGACGGUAACUGACGCUGAGACGCGAAAGCGUGGGGAGCAAACAGG
rnacentral:rRNA from 1 species